rnacentral:rRNA from 1 species
GAUGAACGCUGGCGGCGUGCCUAAUACAUGCAAGUCGAGCGAACAGACGAGGAGCUUGCUCCUCUGACGUUAGCGGCGGACGGGUGAGUAACACGUGGAUAACCUACCUAUAAGACUGGGAUAACUUCGGGAAACCGGAGCUAAUACCGGAUAAUAUAUUGAACCGCAUGGUUCAAUAGUGAAAGACGGUUUUGCUGUCACUUAUAGAUGGAUCCGCGCCGCAUUAGCUAGUUGGUAAGGUAACGGCUUACCAAGGCAACGAUGCGUAGCCGACCUGAGAGGGUGAUCGGCCACACUGGAACUGAGACACGGCCCAGACCCCUAGGGGAGGCAGCAGUGGGGAAUCUUCCGCAAUGGGCGAAAGCCUGACGGAACAACGCCGGGGGAAUGAAGAAGGUCUUCGGAUCGUAAAACUCUUUUAUUAGGGAAAAAAAAAUGGGAAAGUAAAUAUGCACGUUUGGAAGGGACCAAAGCAGAAAGCCACGGCUAACUACGG